ensembl:lncRNA
GUGGCUAACUUCUCUGUCUGACUGUGAACUCCAGGGACUUGUCUGCCCUGCUCACUGGUGCAGCCCACGGGCCUAAUAGAGCUCCUGUAACAGGGUUGGUGUUGACUUCACGCUUGCUGAGUGGUGCAAGUUCAUCUGCACAGCACCUCUGCAGGGUGAAUAUUACGGUCCUCAAUUUUUCAGGAAGAUCUCUCUGUCUCUGCAUUUUUUCCUUUUAUCCACACAUCGACGACUUAUAUCCUUCUUUAUCAGAAGAGGAAAAAUAGUUAUCCUUUGUUACAGGGUUGCUACAUGCAAAAAGCCACACUACGUUAACUGUAGCUCCCCUUUCACUGUUUAACGGUCUGAUCCAGUAGACACUGUAAUUUCAGUUUCAUAGAAGAGAAUGUGGAGUCCUAGAGGUUAAUGUCUAGGGCCAAGGCCAUAAUCCUGGUAAGAGACUGGACAGGACUAGACCUCAGCUGGAGUCUCCAGAUAAGGUCACCAACACCUCCUCCUACCUCUGGGUGUGCCUGGAUGCCUUAGAUCAAGAGGUGGGCUCUACUUCCCUACUGGAAUUGGGAGUGGGGUUCAGACUUGCUUUGACCAAUAGAAUGAAAUAGAAGUAAUAUUCCAGAACUUCAAAGGGUCGAGCUUAGCAGCUCCCAUUUCUUAGAACUUGGAACCCAGCCCCCAAGCUGUAAGGACAUCCAGACUAGAGCACUGGAGACCAUGGGUAGAGGGGUUGGAAAUAAACAGGUCGCCUCACUGUGUAUAUAAACCUCACAGACUAGUAGGGAUGAGAGCUCUGGGAACUCUAAUCUCAAAGCUUGUCUUAUAAUCUGUGCUGUCACGGAGGCGAGUAAAAAAUGCUGUAGAAGCAGAUGAAGACGGAGUGACUGUGUGUGUGUGUGUGUGUGCGCAUAUGUCUAUGGCUGGGGGAGUGGUGAAGGUCGCUUUAUCAAAGAGGUCAUAUAUCUGGAAGGUUAGUAGGGUUUCCGAGGUAGCAAAGGAUGUUCUAGGCAUUUCCAAAGAAACAGAGGUGUGGCAGAACAGGGUAUGCCCAGGGAGUGUGAGCAGAGUAUUUUCUAUGGUUUCUUUGUGUCAUACACAUCUAAGCAUUAAAUCCUCUGAAGGCUCUAAACUUUCUCACUGCAGUUUCCACACUGGUGAGGCUGCACGAGGCUAGGGCGAGGGUUUCCUGCAGUGAUUGGUGGAGAAGGACUCGGUUUUUAAACCUUUAUUCCUCUUGCUCAACUCUUUGAUUGUGGUAGUAUACUGUGUAUUAGUUUCUGAAGGCUGCUGUAACAAAUGACCACAAGCCUAGGGGCUAAAGGCAAAAGAAAUCCAUUCUCUCGUAGUUCUGGAGGCCAGAAACCUGAAAUCCAGGCAUUAGCAGGGCCACAAGCUCUCUGAAGUCUCCAGCAGAGAAUCUCCCCUGCCUGGCCCAGCAUUUGGGGGCUCUGGCUCUCCUGGCGUCUGGGUACACGACUCCACUCUCUGUCUCACAUGGUCUUGUCUCUGCGUCCUCUCUUUUCUGAGAGAGACAGUAUGACAGGCUUUAGGGCCCACCCUCGUCCAGAGUGACCUAAUCUCAACUUCUUAGCUUAAUUACAUCUGCAAAGACCCCUUUUUCCAAAUGUGGUCACCUUCAGGGGUUCUGGGUGAAAACAAAUUUUGGGAGAAUGGUCAUCAUUCAACUUUAGACAGGAAAUCAAAAUCUCUCUUGGCUAAUCUCUCAUUAUAUUUAAGGACAAAUUAAAAUACAAAUCCUUCUUGUGUCAUCAUUCAUAAGCUUCAAAGUUUAAAAUUUCUACAGUUUAAUUUGAAAUGCAACUUCAGGUAAAGGACAUUAGCAGGUUAUUCUAGGCAGGACUCUUAUCAGAGCAUAAUUGCUCCGAUGGCUAGCUGUGCCAAAUUGAAAUCUUAACACAAUAUAAUGGGGUCGUAUUAAAUGGCAGUUGGAAGGUGGUCUACAGUAUUACACGUAC